ensembl:lncRNA
AAAACCAAUGUUGAAACAACAUUGAAAUACUGAUGAAACCUGACACUGACAUUGAAAUAACAUUGAUUCACUGUUGUUCUGUCAUCGUUGAUUGUUGAUCUAUUUAUAGUUGACAAGGUGACAACAAUCACGUUGAAAAACCAUCGAUUUAUGGUUGAGCGGGAAAUUAAAGCUGCUACCACUUGGACUAUUCCGCAGCACCCCUAUCACAUUGGUACAUCCCUCCAGGUAACCAUUGUCUUGUACAGUAGAGCGGGACAUUAGAUUUACUCUCAGCGGAAUUGACCGGAGAAGGCAUCAGUUCAUGCACUGCACUGGCCUGCAGCACGAUUAGUAUAAGACAGGGCAAAAAAGGACUCCAAAUUAAAAAAAAGAUAAAAAUGAAAGACUGGUGCAUUGUGCAGUUUAGCACUGGUGGUACAGAAAUAGUCCCUAGAUCAAGGAUAAAUGGGGAGAAAUUGUCAUGGCCUCCAUAUCCUCCAUGAGACACAUUCAGGAUCCACGAUGCAGUAAAGAGGAGAGUUCAUCCUGGUGCAACAUGGCUCACCUAUGCACCAGUCCGACUUCUAAUAAGCCAUGACACAUUUCACGAAGCAGAACGCAGUCUUCAGAAAUAUCUAAGUGAACACUGUGACACGUCUGACCUUCAGUCCGAAGCUGAAACUC